rnacentral:piRNA from 1 species
UACAAAGGCAUUUGGGACUGGGCUUGC